rnacentral:rRNA from 1 species
AGAGUUUGAUCCUGGCUCAGGAUGAACGCUGGCGGCGUGCUUAACACAUGCAAGUCGAACGAAGCACUUUAUUUGAUUUCUUCGGAAUGAAGAUCUUGUGACUGAGUGGCGGACGGGUGAGUAACGCGUGGGUAACCUGCCUCAUACAGGGGGAUAACAGUUGGAAACGACUGCUAAUACCGCAUAAGCGCACAGGGUCGCAUGACCUGGUGUGAAAAACUCCGGUGGUAUGAGAUGGACCCGCGUCUGAUUAGCCAGUUGGUGGGGUAACGGCCUACCAAAGCGACGAUCAGUAGCCGACCUGAGAGGGUGACCGGCCACAUUGGGACUGAGACACGGCCCAAACUCCUACGGGAGGCAGCAGUGGGGAAUAUUGCACAAUGGGGGAAACCCUGAUGCAGCGACGCCGCGUGAGCGAAGAAGUAUUUCGGUAUGUAAAGCUCUAUCAGCAGGGAAGAAGAAAUGACGGUACCUGACUAAGAAGCACCGGCUAAAUACGUGCCAGCAGCCGCGGUAAUACGUAUGGUGCAAGCGUUAUCCGGAUUUACUGGGUGUAAAGGGAGCGCAGGCGGUACGGCAAGUCUGAUGUGAAAGCCCGGGGCUCAACCCCGGUACUGCAUUGGAAACUGUCGGACUAGAGUGUCGGAGGGGUAAGUGGAAUUCCUAGUGUAGCGGUGAAAUGCGUAGAUAUUAGGAGGAACACCAGUGGCGAAGGCGGCUUACUGGACGAUUACUGACGUUGAGGCUCGAAAGCGUGGGGAGCAAACAGAAUUAGAUACCCUGGUAGUCCACGCUGUAAACGAUGAAUAAUAGGUGUCGGGGAGCAUUGCUCUUCGGUGCCGCAGCAAACGCAAAUAGGUAUUCCACCUGGGGAGUACGUUGGCAAGAAUGAAACUCAAAGGAAUUGACGGGGACCCGCACAAAGCGGGGGAGCAUGUGGUUUAAUUCGAAGCAACGCGAAGAACCUUACCAAGUCUUGACAUCCCGAUGACAGAACAUGUAAUGUGUUUUCUUUUCGGAGCAUCGGUGACAGGUGGUGCAUGGUUGUCGUCAGCUCGUGUCGUGAGAUGUUGGGUUAAGUCCCGCAACGAGCGCAACCCCUAUUCUUAGUAGCCAGCGGGUAAGCCGGGCACUCUAGGGAGACUGCCAGGGAUAACCUGGAGGAAGGUGGGGAUGACGUCAAAUCAUCAUGCCCCUUAUGACUUGGGCUACACACGUGCUACAAUGGCGUAAACAAAGGGAAGCGAGCCUGCGAGGGGGAGCAAAUCUCAAAAAUAACGUCUCAGUUCGGAAGGCAGUCUGCAACUCGACUGCACGAAGCUGGAAUCGCUAGUAAUCGCGAAUCAGAAUGUCGCGGUGAAU